GGCCCAGAAGUUUGAUGCUUGGAGGUACUAGGUAGACAUGACAAUUUUUAUCCAAAACCAAUAAAUCAAACCGGACCAUAUAUAUGGACUUGGACCAAAUUCAUAUCACACAUGUUUAUUUGGUUAUGGGUCGGGUUUAGAGUACAAAUUUAUUAAAAUAAUAUGGGCUUAAAAAUGAGAUACCCAGUCCAUAUUAUCCACUAAAAACAAUAACCCAGCAGAGGACAGCAUACGAGCGAGACUAGAACCGAGACUAUAACCUGAGACACACUUCGGUCCAUUUCCGUGCUUCAUGUUCCCUAUACACUGCCUGAGCAAUAUACACAACAAAUAGAGUAAUGGGUGUCCACAAAUCAUGAAAAAUCAGAAAUUAGAGGUGCUCAAAUCUGUUUACUCUUGCGUCUCUUCAUUCUCGUGAACAACCAAUCAGGUGUAAUUGUUUCUCUUUUAUUUGUGUGCAUCUAAUGGAAGAAGAACAUAGUUCUAAUAUGAGUAGGUUUGCGAAAAGAUAUAGAAAGACAACAUCAAAAAUUUGGUCUUUAUUUGAAAAUUUUGAAAGUGAUGGAAUAUUUAAAAGAAAGUUUAGAAUGUAGUCAAAUUUAUAGUUGUGAGCAUGGUACUAGUAAUAUGCAGAAACACAUGUUAAAACAUGGACAUAAUGUUGUUGGUGAUGAACUUGAAAAUGCCCCAUUUGAUCAAAAAGUUUAUCGUGAUUUGAUGGGCAAAGCAAUUAUAAAACAUAAUCUGCCCUUUAAUUAUGUUGAGUAUGAUGGUGUAUGGGAUGUGCAAAGUUACUUGAAUUCUAAUGUCCAACCCAUUUUAAAAAAUACUAUCAUAGGUGAUAUCUUGGAUACAUAUAGAUUUGAGAAAAGGAAAAUGAAAGAUAUAUUACAAUCCUUGCCUGGAAAAGUAUGCUUGACAUCUGAUUUGUGGUCCUCGUCAGUUAUGGAUGGAUAUUUAUCUAUUACUGAUCAUUUUGUUUAAGGUAAUUGGAGACCACAUUCAAGGAUUUUAAAUUUUAGAUUUAUGCCCCCCACCACACAAUGGACAUUUAUUGAAUAUUUAUAUGUUUAUUCUCAUAAGGCUUCCCUUUUUGCAGGUUGCUUUUGUUUUGUAGACCGAUUUCGAUAAAAAUUUGAGAACCAGCCAGAGAGAUCUAAAACUAGGCGUAAAAUUAAUAUACUUCUGAGCUACUCUGUUCUUAUUCAUUGAGUGCUUAUGUAGACUCUUUUUUGAGAUGAGAUGAUACAUUGGUUUACGGAGUUUCUUGUACUUAACUGAAUAGCGCUUGUUUAAUUGAAUUAGGCUUGUUUAAUUUCUUGUUACCAGCAGAAUAGUGCUUGUUUAAUUGAAUUAGACUAAAAUUUUGAUUCCGGCA